rnacentral:rRNA from 1 species
GAUGAGCAUGCGUCCCAUUAGCUUGUUGGUAAGGUAACGGCUUACCAAGGCAACGAUGGGUAGGGGUCCUGAGAGGGAGAUCCCCCACACUGGUACUGAGACACGGACCAGACUCCUACGGGAGGCAGCAGUGAGGAAUAUUGGUCAAUGGGCGCAAGCCUGAACCAGCCAUGCCGCGUGCAGGAUGACGGUCCUAUGGAUUGUAAACUGCUUUUGUACAGGAAGAAACAGUUCUACGUGUAGAACCUUGACGGUACUGUAAGAAUAAGGAUCGGCUAACUCCGUGCCAGCAGCCGCGGUAAUACGGAGGAUCCAAGCGUUAUCCGGAAUCAUUGGGUUUAAAGGGUCCGUAGGCGGUUUUGUAAGUCAGUGGUGAAAGCCCAUCGCUCAACGGUGGAACGGCCAUUGAUACUGCAAGACUUGAAUUAUUGGGAAGUAACUAGAAUAUGUAGUGUAGCGGUGAAAUGCUUAGAGAUUACAUGGAAUACCAAUUG